CUCAGUUGCUCGCGUCGGAAACGCCCGGUUACAUUUCGAACCCGGAAGCUAAGCCUUUCAGCGCCGAUGGUACUGCAGGGGGGACCCUGUGGGAGAGUAGGACGCCGCCGAAC
rnacentral:rRNA from 1 species